ensembl:lncRNA
CAGAAAAAAAUAAACAAGAGAAGACAGAGUGGGAAGGCUUCACACUGUGGCUCUGGGGCGAGCAGAUCAUGGGCUCUUGUGGCAGCGUGCGGCUGGGGAGCAGAAGUUCUUUGCUGGUGCUCCCAUGAUGUGAAUUUUCUCUCCUGGAACUUGUGUGAUACGAAGUACCAGCACAGGGAGAUGGGUGCACAGCUCUGCUCUUCACCAGACUGUUGGCAUCUGGUGUGUGUAUCAGGGGUGUAUUCACAACAUUUACAGUUAUGUCAGUGCAAGUGAGGGAAGAACAAAGCUUUGAUAAGGGGAAGCCAGGUGCUAUUGAAUGGUGUUGGACACUUCAAAGUGGUGAGAAAGUCACAGAGACCUCCAAAACCUCUCUUGGGCCAUGUCAACAUAUCAAUCUUAAUUUGGCUGUUGUUUCCUUGUAUGUGCCAACUAUUCUAAUUCAGCACUGAGUUAAAGAAAAACUGAUUCUGUGUUGUCAAAGUUUCUGCAUUCUAAACAUGGAGUUUUAUCUUAUAACAAACACCUGGGUGCUUUUAGCCACUCCUGAACCUUCUUACCAAGACUGUGACGUUUUCCUCAUGAUGUCACUGGUCCUCCCACAAGGCGAUGGCCACAGGAGUCCUCCCCCUGAGCACAGCAGCACAGGGCCCCUUCCAGCUGCAGUCAGGCCAGGCUGGAGCUGGCAUCCAUGCACACCUUGGCUGUACGUUCUCUGUGUGGAAGAACAGGUGGUCUCAUCAGUGUGGCAUGCUCAGAUUAUGCUGCUUAACUCUGAAUACCAUAUUUUGGUGUUUCCAGGCCUGCGCGCUCACUGUGAAAGUCUUCUUGCAGUAAAUAUGUUGUAUAGGUACCCUGCAGUGCUCUUUCACAGACUGCUGAUGGGUUGUUGGUUGUACCCGUGUCUGUCUGGUCACUGCUAGUGACAAGCAUUGAGAAAAUGCCUAUUCUAAAUAUCCAAAUGCAUGUAUGAUUUUCAGAAAAUAGGCUUGUUAAUUUCUUGGGAGAGAUGUAAUAUUCACACCAUCGAACUUGAUAGCUCAAGCACUCGGAGCUCAUGUUGGAAGUGAGACUUACAGCCUUACAGCCUCUCUUAGUGCAGCAUUGCAUACUUCUUCUCUCCAUCUAGGUACCAGAAAGUUGAUUGCAUUUCAUUUCCUUUAUAACUUCUUUGUGACAGACUUUGAAUAAGCCAGGAAAGUCAAUGACAGCUGAAUUGAGAAUUCGAAAGUCCAUUUAAAAGGGAUUAUAGUAAAUGAAACUGUCCUGGUUUUCCUUUUACAAGUCUUUGUGGUAGUUGUACUUUCUCAUUUUCUAUUACCAAUGUGUUCUAUAGGGCGAAGCAGAGCUUUCUUGUAUUUAAUUCUGAGUAGCAUCCUUGAUGCCUUGCAAAUCUGGUAAGAAAGGAGUAGGGGAGCGUGGAGUGCCAAUAUGAUAAUUGUGCUGAUAACAUGAAACUCUUUUUCAUAGUGAAAAUUUUUGAGUAGUGGGAAUUAUAUUUAGGCAAUAGGACUGUAUAACAAUAUAGUAUGAUAUUUUAGUUUAAUAUGUUGCAGUUGAAGUCCCACCAUAAGUAAUGGAUUUUUUCUAAAUCAGAAGAUAACUGAGUUUCUUCAUGUUUGAGGAAGAUAUGUCCUAGCUUUUAUCUCUGUGCUCGAUGCAAGCAUGAUCUAACAUUUGGAUGUACUAGAUCUCACAUCAGACCUUUGUAUUUUAAGGAAGACUAUCUAAACCAAUUAAUAUUUUAUAUGAUAGAACUGUUCUUCCGUCCUAAUGCAUAAUCUUUGAAGUCUGCACUACAAGGAGAAACCUCAUCUUUGGUAAAUUUGUCUUUGGAAUUUGGAUUGACUGUGAAGGAGUGACUUCUGGUGCUUCAGGCAGUUUGUAAGAGAGGAAAACGUGCAGCAGAGUUUGUAAAAUCUCAGCAUUUGCGAGGUAGUGCAGGGCCUGAGUUUAAGAACGAAAGAAAAGACUUAAGAGAAAGGAGGCUUCCCUGUGAUGGAAACCACAGACCAAGACCACUGUGACUUCUAAGUUCAGUGCUGCAAGCCUUUAUCUAAAUUUGCAUAAGCAGCUCCUGCAAAACAUCCAGCAUCUCAUUUGCUUUCUGCACCCACGCUGUUGAGUUGUUUUUAUUAUGCGUUUAAUGACCACUGUACUCCCGUGGCCUUGAUUGCUAAAAUUUAUGUCUAUUUACAGUGCCAUUAUUAGCAUCCAAGUACAUGUUAUUUUGUUGUUUUUAACAUCCUGGAAUCAUAUAGCUGAAAGUUUUCAAUUAACACACUUGGUUGCACAGUAUGCAGUAUUGGACAGGAUAAUGAAACUCAAUCUUUCUGACUUUAUUGACCUAAUUGUAUCAUCUGUAUCACUUUAUUGGUUUGUUAAAAUAAUCCUUCCCUCCCAACCUAUUGAAAUGAUACUGCCUAAUGCACAGAAUGAUUUACCUUUACUUUAGUGUCACCACAAGUGAAAUAGUUUUGGGCCUUUUUAACAAACUGCUGGCAUUAUGGAAAUCAUUUUCCUUAUUAAGUUCCAUUCUUUACAACUCAUUAACUUCUGGUGACAGUAUGUUCAGGGGGACCCAUCCCUAAUACAUGGUACCUCCAUGGUCACUUCAAAGCCACACCUGAGGCAGUUUUUUCUUCUUCAUUAUAUAGCUCCACUUCAGUUCCCUAAUCACAGACUACUUUUAAUUCAAACCUGUAGCAACCGGACUCUCUCUCCAGCUCAUAUCCAUCAUUGAGGGGUAAUCAUAAGGAAAAUUUUGGCAUUAAAGAAAAUUCAUUCAUUCUUACAAUUGAAAACCAACUGUUAAGCUACACACAAGUUGAGGUUAAUGUUUCCUUCACCAAAAUGCUUUACACCAGGGUAGGAGGGCUCAGACAUACUGCAUGCAGGGGUUUCCCUUUCUGUAGGGGAAGUGCCACCUUUUUACCACUUACACAUUUGCGUGAGGCACCAAUGUCUUUGUACUCGUAUUUGAAAUCCUGGAGUGCUGUGUUAGAGAUACAGCUAUUGUGCAAGAAACACAUUCUGUAAUAACAGCUCCAGUAUUUCUGCAGGCGUCUGUGAAUAGGUGUCAUACUCGUGUCUGAUUCUUCCAUUACUGCUCUGUUGUUCUCUCUGAACCAUGUCAG